AUUCAAAGAGAACAGAGGAAGUAUUGAAAAGCUGCAUUUCAACGCAGCAUUACUGAAGACUGGAAACUUGGGCACGGUUAAUAGUAGAAGAAUCAUCUCAUCAUUGGAACAGAAGACUUCAACAAAAGGGUUCCAAAAUCAAAAAAAGCUAGGUCUGCAUAUUGAAUACAUUCAAGAGAAGGAUAAAUAUGGGUGGCAGUGGUCCUAGUAAAGAAUAUGUUAAAGUAUAUCAUUGUUGCAGAUGCAGCUGUCAAAUCACUGGUGAUUAUGGCACAUACGGCAAUGCAGUUUACUGCCGACCAUGUCAUAAUACUGAAACAGCAGAAAGGGCAAGUGCAGAAGCGAAAAGACAAAAUGAGGAAAUGGAAAUCCAAAAGCAACAACGAGCAAGACAAAAGGAGAUGGAGGAAAGACAACGCAUACAAGGAGAAGCACGAAAAAGAAAGCUGGAAAAAGAAAACGCAGCAAUGAUAACUGCUCAGUAAAGUGCUGUGAGCUUCACAUUCCUUCAGCGUUAUUUGAAGGAUGAGAAUCACAGUUUGUGCUCCACAGUCUUGAACCCUUCAAUACAGAGCAGGCUUCUUAAGCUCUGCAUAGAGACACAUGCAUUAUUCCUGGUAUCAUAUGAAUUUGCAGCUUCUUCUGAUGUCUUGAUAACCCACACAAUUAAAACUAAAGGAUUACAGUUCUUGUGUUGUAUUAAAUAAUGAAUGUUGAUAAACUGUUCACAAUGAGCCGAUGCUAAGAUGCUUUUUUUUACUCUACUUAGACAACACAAUGUUGAUUUUAAAAAGCUUCAACACAUAACUGCUGCAUGCAAAUAAAGAGCUCAUACAUGUAA